rnacentral:snRNA from 1 species
AGCUUUGCGCAAUGGCAGUAUUGUAGCCAAUGAGGUUUAUCUGAGGCGGGAUUAUUGCUAAUUGAAAAAUACCCAGAAUAGCCAAAGAAAUCCUGAGAAGGA